rnacentral:tRNA from 1 species
AGCUGGUUAGAGCACAUCACUAAUAAUGAGGGGGUCGCAGGUUCGAGCCCCGCCGUAGCC